UAGGGAAUAUUGCUCAAUGGGGGAAACCCUGAAGCAGCAACGCCGCGUGGAGGAUGAAGGUUUUCGGAUUGUAAACUCCUUUUGUUAGAGAAGAUAAUGACGGUAUCUAACGAAUAAGCACCGGCUAACUCCGUGCCAGCAGCCGCGGUAAUACGGAGGGUGCAAGCGUUACUCGGAAUCACUGGGCGUAAAGAGCGCGUAGGCGGGAUAGCAAGUCAGAUGUGAAAUCCUAUGGCUUAACCAUAGAACUGCAUUUGAAACUAUUAUUCUAGAGUAUGGGAGAGGUAGGUGGAAUUCUUGGUGUAGGGGUAAAAUCCGUAGAGAUCAAGAGGAAUACUCAUUGCGAAGGCGACCUGCUAGAACAUAACUGACGCUGAUGCGCGAAAGCGUGGGGAGCAAACAGG
rnacentral:rRNA from 1 species